AUGAAGGAGUAUUUGGAGUAUUUGUCCAGCUCAUCUCUACCUACUCUACAGUGUGAGCACUUGUCACUUGUGUACUGCAGAAAUGAAAGAAACUGGACAAAAUCUUUUACAGGAAAUGACACUUCAUAUUUUCCCCCUAGAGAUUCAAAACACAAUUUGGGGGUAAACGGAGUUCGAAUAAAUGAAAAAAGAUGCCAAAUGAUCAAGGCUUCUGGACCAAAGGAAUGUACAACAAUGCAACUUACCAGCUACAUAUAAAGCUUCAGGAAAUGACUCACUACUGGCAGCAAUAAAAAUUCCAGGGAAUAGGAGGCCA
rnacentral:lncRNA from 1 species